AUUGAACGCUGGCGGUAGGCCUAACACAUGCAAGUCGAGCGCGAAAGUGCCUUCGGGCGCGAGUAGAGCGGCGGACGGGUGCGUAACGCGUAGGAAUCUGCCUGGUAGUGGGGGAUAACUCGGGGAAACUCGAGCUAAUACCGCAUACGCCCCACGGGGGAAAGCGGGGGACCUUCGGGCCUCGCGCUAUCAGAUGAGCCUGCGUCGGAUUAGCUAGUUGGUAGGGUAAUGGCCUACCAAGGCGACGAUCCGUAGCUGGUCUGAGAGGAUGAUCAGCCACACUGGGACUGAGACACGGCCCAGACUCCUACGGGAGGCAGCAGUGGGGAAUUUUGGACAAUGGGGGCAACCCUGAUCCAGCCAUGCCGCGUGAGUGAAGAAGGCCUUCGGG
rnacentral:rRNA from 1 species